GGUACAUUCAACAUAUCCCCAGAUAGCUCAGAUCUGAACGCACAUUAUUACUGAAUGGCGCUCAGAGCACACACAUACAGUUCAAUUGCCAUGGAGCCAAAGUCUUUCCCAUAGUCUUUCAUUAUACGAAUGGGCUCCAUGGCAUAGCUAUCUGGGGUAUCACCGCUCAAACAGGGCAAGCACCAAAUGACCCGGCUUUCAUGUCUUUGCAG